GAUCAUGGCUCAGGAUGAACGCUGGCGGCAUGCCUAAUACAUGCAAGUCGAACGAGAGGAAGGAAAGCUUGCUUUUCUGAAUCUAGUGGCGAACGGGUGAGUAACACGUAGGUAACCUGCCCAUGUGCCCGGGAGUAACUUCUGGAAACGGAUGCUAAAACCGGAUAGGUAGCAGACAAGCAUUUGACUGCUAUUAAAGUGGCCUUGGCCAUGAACAUGGAUGGACCUGCGGUG
rnacentral:rRNA from 1 species